rnacentral:rRNA from 1 species
AGAGUUUGAUCCUGGCUCAGAACGAACGCUGGCGGCAGGCCUAACACAUGCAAGUCGAACGAGAAGCCACCUUCGGGUGGUGGACAGUGGCAGACGGGUGAGUAACGCGUGGGAACGUGCCUUUCGGUUCGGGAUAACCCAGGGAAACUUGGACUAAUACCGGAUACGCCCUUCGGGGGAAAGAUUUAUUGCCGAAAGAUCGGCCCGCGUCGGAUUAGCUAGUUGGUGAGGUAAAAGCUCACCAAGGCGACGAUCCGUAGCUGGUCUGAGAGGAUGACCAGCCACACUGGGACUGAGACACGGCCCAGACUCCUACGGGAGGCAGCAGUGGGGAAUAUUGGACAAUGGGCGCAAGCCUGAUCCAGCCAUGCCGCGUGGGUGAAGAAGGCCUUAGGGUUGUAAAUCCCUUUCAGCGGGGAAGAUAAUGACGGUACCCGCAGAAGAAGCCCCGGCUAACUCCGUGCCAGCAGCCGCGGUAAUACGGAGGGGGCUAGCGUUGUUCGGAAUUACUGGGCGUAAAGCGCGCGUAGGCGGACCUGUAAGUCGGGGGUGAAAGCCCGAGGCUCAACCUCGGAACUGCCUCCGAUACUACAGGUCUUGAGUCCGAGAGAGGUGAGUGGAAUUCCUAGUGUAGAGGUGAAAUUCCUAGAUAUUUAGGAAGAACCCCCGUGGCGAAGGCGGCUCACUGGCUCGGUACUG